AGCGAACGCUGGCGGCAGGCUUAACACAUGCAAGUCGAGCGGGCGUAGCAAUACGUCAGCGGCAGACGGGUGAGUAACGCGUGGGAACGUACCUUUUGGUUCGGAACAACACAGGGAAACUUGUGCUAAUACCGGAUAAGCCCUUACGGGGAAAGAUUUAUCGCCGAAAGAUCGGCCCGCGUCUGAUUAGCUAGUUGGUGAGGUAACGGCUCACCAAGGCGACGAUCAGUAGCUGGUCUGAGAGGAUGAUCAGCCACAUUGGGACUGAGACACGGCCCAGACUCCUACGGGAGGCAGCAGUGGGGAAUAUUGGACAAUGGGCGCAAGCCUGAUCCAGCCAUGCCGCGUGAGUGAUGAAGGCCCUAGGGUUGUAAAGCUCUUUUGUGCGGGAAGAUAAUGACGGUACCGCAAGAAUAAGCCCCGGCUAACUUCGUGCCAGCAGCCGCCGUAAGAC
rnacentral:rRNA from 1 species